rnacentral:rRNA from 1 species
AGCGAACGCUGGCGGCAUGCUUAACACAUGCAAGUCGAGCGGGCAUAGCAAUAUGUCCGCGGCAGACGGGUGAGUAACGCGUGGGAACGUACCUUUUGGUUCGGAACCACUGAGGGAAACUUCAGCUAAUACCGGAGAAGCCCUUACGGGGAAAGAUUUAUCGCCGAAAGAUCGACCCGCGCCUGAUUAGAUUGUUGGUGAGGUCAUGGCUCACCAAGGAGACGAAAAGUAGCUUGUCUGAGAGGAUGUUCAGCCACAUUGGGAAUGAGACACAGACCAAACUCCUCCGGGAGGGAGCAGUGCGUAACAUUGGACCAUGGGCGCAAGGCUGAUACAGCUCUGCAGCGUGAGCGAUGAAGGCCCUGGGGAAGAAAAGCUUUUUUGUCCGGGAAGAUAAUGACGGUACCGAAAGAAUAAGCCCCGGCUAACUUCGUG